CAGUGUGAAGGGGGCAAUUGUCUACGAAAGACUCACUGCAUCAGCACGUGGAGCACACGAGUUUGCUUUAUUAGCCUAAUACCACGCCUGCGACAGAAGUACCUUCUUAUAAACUGUGCAAGACGUGCGUUAUUACUGUUCUUCUUAAUCGUUCUGCUCUUGAAAGACCGUUACGAAGUCAACCAUGCAUGCAUCUUCUGUGAUCGGAGCUAUGUUUUUUGUUUCAAUCUCGAUAGUUCCCGUUUUGAACUACCAAGUCUCGGAUCAUUGGUUCUCCGAAGAUUAUUCCCCAGAUUUAGGGCUCACGGAUCUCGAAGAUGAACAAACCAGGAGUUCCAGUUGGCUGCCCACCGAUAAACGAACCAUGAAAGGAUUAGGUGUUUCCUGCAGAAGUACCAUUGAAUGUUACCCAGGACUGUGCUGCAUACGAGACGGUCACAUCGACACUUGCCAGAUGUCGUCAAUGUAUGGUGAAAAGUGCUCGCUAGGACAAAUCAAAGGAGGUAUAUACCACAAGCAUGGUCCCUGUUACUACGGAGAUGAAUACUGUAUAGAUGGAACAUGCUUCGCAUAACAACGCGCCUUCUUGGUAACACGAG